UGAGCAUAAAAAAAAUUAAGAUAUGGCUUUCAAAGUGUGGGUGUUUUCCCUCAUGUUUAUGAUGAUAGCAUUAUGUGUCUCGCCAAAGGUUGAAGCAAAAGACAUUCCCAUAUGUUGUUGCAAGACAGACGCAGACUGUAAACGUCUUUGUGGCGAUAUACUUCCCUAUUAUUUUGAUGGUGAGUGGUGUGAAUGUGGGCAUCAGCCUCCCAAAGGUCGAAAUACACAAACUAGUGAAAACAUAAAUUAAAGAAUUAAAAUUGCGUAGCGUGAAAUAAAAGCAAUAAUAUAUUUGGAAUUUAA